rnacentral:rRNA from 1 species
CCGUCAAUUCAUUUAAGUUUCAGCCUUGCGGCCGUACUUCCCAGGUGGCUCGCUUCACGGCCUCCCUACGGCACCGACAACGGUCGCACCGUGGCCGACACCUAGCGAGUAUCGUUUACGGCUAGGACUACCCGGGUAUCUAAUCCGGUUCGUGCCCCUAGCUUUCGUCCCUUGCCGUCAGGUCCGUUCUGGUGAGACGCCUUCGCCACUGGUGGUCCUUCAAGGAUUACAAGAUUUCACCCCUACCCCUGAAGUAUCUCUCACCUCUCCCGGCCUCGAGCCAGACAGUAUCUCCUGAAAGCCUGACAGUUAAGCUGCCAGAUUUCUCAAGAGACUUAUCCGGCCGGCUACAGACCCUUUAGACCCAAUAAUAACGGUUACCACUCGAGCCGCCGGUGUUACCGCGGCGGCUGGCACCGGUCUUGCCCGGCCCUUGCUAUGAAAUGCUUUUUAGGCAUCUCGACAGCCAGAUUUGUAACCUGGCACUCGAGGUUCCCUUAUCGCUGUUGCCAGCAUUGUAAAGUUUUCGCGCCUGCUGCCUCCCGUAGGAGU